GAUGAACGCUGGCGGCGUGCUUAACACAUGCAAGUCGAACGGAAAGGCUCCUGCUUGCAGGGGUACUCGAGUGGCGAACGGGUGAGUAACACGUGGGUGAUCUGCCCUGCACUUCGGGAUAAGCCUGGGAAACUGGGUCUAAUACCGGAUAGGACCACAUUUUGGAUGGUGUGGUGGAAAGUUUUUCGGUGUGGGAUGAGCUCGCGGCCUAUCAGCUUGUUGGUGGGGUAAUGGCCUACCAAGGCGUCGACGGGUAGCCGGCCUGAGAGGGUGUACGGCCAAAGGUGGGCAGAGAUGAGGACCGGACUCGUACGGGAGGCAGCAGGGGGGAAUAGGGAACAAUGGGCGGAAGGCUGAGGCAGCGCUGCCCCGGGGGGGAGGACGGCCUGCGGGUAGUAAAAGACGGUCGCCAGGGAAGAAACUGGGUGGGACGGGACCUAGAUAAGAAGCACCGGCUAGCUAGGUG
rnacentral:rRNA from 1 species